GACGGGGGGGGCAAGUGUUCUUCGGAAUGACUGGGCGUAAAGGGCACGUAGGCGGUGAAUCGGGUUGAAAGUGAAAGUCGCCAAAAAGUGGCGGAAUGCUCUCGAAACCAAUUCACUUGAGUGAGACAGAGGAGAGUGGAAUUUCGUGUGUAGGGGUGAAAUCCGUAAAUAUACGAAGGAACGCCAAAAGCGAAGGCAGCUCUCUGGGUCCCUACCGUCGCUGGGGUGCGAAAGCAUGGGGAGCGAACAGG
rnacentral:rRNA from 1 species